GUUAAGGCUUGCUCAGUUGGUAGAACAUGAGACUCUUAAUCUCUGGGUUGUGGGUUCGCUUCCAACUCUACAAUU